rnacentral:rRNA from 1 species
GGACCACCCGCUAAGCCUAAAUAUUCCCUGGUGACCGAUAGCGGACAAGUACCGUGAGGGAAAGGUGAAAAGUACCCCGGGAGGGGAGUGAAAUAGAUCCUGAAACCGUGUGCCUACAAUCCGUCGGAGCCUCCUUGUGGGGUGACGGCGUGCCUUUUGAAGAAUGAGCCUGCGAGUUAGUGCUCGGUGGCGAGGUUAACCCGUGUGGGGAAGCCGUAGCGAAAGCGAGUCCGAAUAGGGCGAAUGAGUCGCCGGGUCUAGACCCGAAGCGGAGUGAUCUACCCAUGGCCAGGUUGAAGCGCAGGUAAGACUGCGUGGAGGACCGAACCCACUUAGGUUGAAAACUGAGGGGAUGAGCUGUGGGUAGGGGUGAAAGGCCAAUCAAACUCCGUGAUAGCUGGUUCUCCCCGAAAUGCAUUUAGGUGCAGCGUCACGUGUUUCUUACCGGAG